CAGUAGCCACGGUAAUACAGAGGGUGCGAGCGUUAAUCGGAUUUACUGGGCGUAAAGCGCGCGUAGGUGGUUUGUUAAGUUGGAUGUGAAAGCCCCGGGCUCAACCUGGGAACUGCAUCCAAAACUGGCAAGCUAGAGUACGGUAGAGGGUGGUGGAAUUUCCUGUGUAGCGGUGAAAUGCGUAGAUAUAGGAAGGAACACCAGUGGCGAAGGCGACCACCUGGACUGAUACUGACACUGAGGUGCGAAAGCGUGGGGAGCAAACAGGAUUAGAUACCCGCGUAGUCCCUGUCUCUUAUAC
rnacentral:rRNA from 1 species